rnacentral:rRNA from 1 species
UACGAAGGGUGCUAGCGUUGCUCGGAUUGACUGGGCGUAAAGGGCGCGUAGGCGGUUCGUACAGUCAGACGUGAAAUUCCUGGGCUCAACCUGGGGGCUGCGUUUGAUACGUGCGGACUUGAGUGCGGAAGAGGGUCGUGGAAUUCCCAGUGUAGAGGUGAAAUUCGUAGAUAUUGGGAAGAACACCGGUGGCGAAGGCGUCGACCUGGUCCGAUACUGACGCUGAGGCGCGAAAGCGUGGGGAGCAAACAGG